UAUAGCUGGACCACUUGGUAAUAGUCACCAUAAUAUAAUUACAUUUAACAUCCCUGUGGCGGGGAAAACACCAAAGCGGCCCAACACUGUAGCAUUUAAUUUCAGAAAGGGGAACUAUACAAAAAUUAGGAGGUUAAACAGAAAUCAAAUGGUACAGCACCUAAAGUGAAAUCCCCUUCAAGCUGCAUGGAAAUUUUUGUAAGAUACCAUAAUAGAGGCUCAACUUAAAUGUAUACCCCAAAUUAAAAAACAUAGUAAUAUAAGCCUAAGAAC